GCCUGGGUGGCUCAGUUGGUUGAGCGUCCGACUUCAGCUCAGGUCAUGAUAUCACGGUUCGUGGGUUCGAGCCCCGCAUCCGGCU
rnacentral:tRNA from 1 species